AAAGUCGUAACAAGGUUUCCGUAGGUGAACCUGCGGAAGGAUCAUUAUAGUACAACGGAGGGCACCCUGGGCUGUCGCUAACCUUUGAGAAAAGGACGUGCACGCUCGGAGCGCUCUCUCACAUCCAUCUCACACCCUUUUGUGCAUCACCGCGUGGGGGCCCUCCUCUUUCGUCGUUGUUUCCGGAUGGGCGGGGGGUUUGCAUCGUUUUUAUUACGAACAACCCAUUAAUGCAUGUGUAGAAUGUCUUACUUUUUGCGGUCAUCACACAAUCAAUACAA
rnacentral:misc_RNA from 1 species